rnacentral:lncRNA from 1 species
UAAUCCAACUUCAAGAUAAGCUUCUAUUUUCUUCUUAUUCUUCUUUUCUUUUCUUUUCUUUCUUCUCCUUACCAAGAAAGGCAUGCUAUGUUGAAAGUGCUUAUUCACUUCAUCCAUUUCAUCAUUUUCUGCUUGAGGAUAAGCAACAGUUUGCAUUACGUACAUUUUUUUUUUCCCAAGAAAUGAUUUCCUUGGUAGAAACUAAGGCGAAAAAGAAUGAAAUAUUU